rnacentral:rRNA from 1 species
GACGAACGCUGGCGGCGUGCCUAAUACAUGCAAGUUGAGCGCUGAAGGUUGGUACUUGUACCAACUGGAUGAGCAGCGAACGGGUGAGUAACGCGUGGGGAAUCUGCCUUUGAGCGGGGGACAACAUUUGGAAACGAAUGCUAAUACCGCAUAAAAACUUUAAACACAAGUUUUAAGUUUGAAAGAUGCAAUUGCAUCACUCAAAGAUGAUCCCGCGUUGUAUUAGCUAGUUGGUGAGGUAAAGGCUCACCAAGGCGAUGAUACAUAGCCGACCUGAGAGGGUGAUCGGCCACAUUGGGACUCAGACACGGCCCAAACUCCUACGGGAGGCAGCAGUAGGGAAUCUUCGGCAAUGGACGAAAGUCUGACCGAGCAACGCCGCGUGAGUGAAGAAGGUUUUCGGAUCGUAAAACUCUGUUGGUAGAGAAGAACGUUGGUGAGAGUGGAAAGCUCAUCAAGUGACGGUAACUACCCAGAAAGGGACGGCUAACUACGUG